UUGGAACAACUUGGUUUCCAGUUACCUCAUGGAAUAAUUUUAAUUUAUGAUUUGGAAGAAGAAGCUUUACAGGAAGCAUCCACAACUUAUACAAGCAUCUACAGCUUUUCCUCUUCCCAGUUGGGGGUUGGCCUUCAAAAUUGGUCUUCAGAAGCUCCUUGAAAGUCAGUCCAUUUUAUUCUAUGGCCACGUCUUCAUGAUACACAGCAAUAUUGAGUCUCUCAGACCAUUUGGACAAUUCAGUGAAGACAAAGCAAACUGGUUGCGUGAAUGAAAUGGCUGAUGGGUUGAUUGAAAGCCAGCUUCAUCAGAGUGGUUGGAAUAAUGGGUUCAGAUUCACCUAUGUCUGGCAGUCAGGAAGAACAAGAAAAUGGAACUGCAUUGAUCCUGAGGAUUGAAAGUGGGAAAGGACUUCCCAAUUCAUCUAGUUCAACACUUUCAUUCAACAGAUGGGAAACUGAGGUAC